GAUGAACGCUGGCGGCGUGCUUAACACAUGCAAGUCGAACGGAAAGGCUCCUGCUUGCAGGGGUACUCGAGUGGCGAACGGGUGAGUAACACGUGGGUGAUCUGCCCUGCACUUCGGGAUAAGCCUGGGAAACUGGGUCUAAUACCGGAUAGGACCACAUUUUGGAUGGUGUGGUGGAAAGUUUGUCGGUGUGGGAUGAGCUCGCGGCCUAUCAGCUUGUUGGUGGGGUAAUGGCCUACCAAGGCGUCGACGGGUAGCCGGCCUGAGAGGGUGUACGGCCACAAUGGGACUGAGAUACGGCGCAGACUGCUACGGGAGGCAGCAGUGGGGAAUAUUGCACAAUGGGCGCAAGCCUGAUGCAGCGACGCCGCGUGGGGGAUGACGGCCUUCGGGUUGUAAACUCCUUUCGCUAGGGACGAAGCGCAAGUGACGGUACCUGGAGAAGAAGCACCGGCUAACUACGUG
rnacentral:rRNA from 1 species